UUCUAACCGCACAUCAGAAGGUAAACUAAAGAAAACGAGCAUUUGAGUUGGAUGAUCUAGAAUUUUACUCAAUGCUCGAUACCGCUCAUCCACUGUUAAACCUUCUAUUUCACAUAAGGUUGAAUAUAAAUUUGUAGCUUUUUCUUGGAUGAUCUGGAAUUCUUCUGACUUCUGUUGAACUACCACAUCGGAGGCAAUACUCCUACUGAUUUGUUCGCCAAUGGCCCUCAUGUUUUCG
rnacentral:lncRNA from 1 species